AAAAAACCAUUAAAAGACAGCUUUAACUAAUCAUAUCACAGAAAAUCUAGUGUAUCAAGAUUACAAGCCACCUAAGACCUACUUUCCUAAUAAAGAGGUGUUUUUUACAGUAGAAGACAUCUCAGAGACAUAUAAUGGAUGAAGAAUGUUCUUUGAUGGAGAGUCAAACUUCAAAGGAGUCAAAAUUACAGCAGCCCUAGAUUUAGAAAUAGGUCAAUAUUAUAUGAUCUCGGCUAAGAUUAAGUUUCCUUGUACGAACAACAUGGCAGAAUAUGAAGCUUGCAUUCUCGAACUAAGGAUGGCAGUAGACAUGAAUAUCAAAGAGUUCUUGGUGAUAGGAGAUUCAUAUUUGUUGAUCUAUCAGGGGCAAGGAGAAUGGACCACCGAGAAUGUCAAAAUCCUUCCUCAUGUGCAAUGUGUUAAGAAGCUCAGUAAAAGGUUCAAAAAGAUUGAGUUCAAACAUGUCCCUCGAAUUCAAAAUGAGUUCGUCGAUGCCCUGCAACACUAUCUUCAAUGAUUAAACAUCCAGAUAAGAAUUACAUUGAUUCCAUAAAGGUGGAGGUACACAAGUAACAUGCAUACUGUUUCCAAGUUGAUAAAGAACCAAAUGUAAAGUCGUAGUACUGUGACAUCAAGAGGUUACUCAAAGCAGGAGAAUAUCCAAAAAGCACUUCUAGAGAGUCGAAGAGGACUUUAAGAAUGAUGGCCAAUCACUUCUUUCUCAAUGGGGAGAUUCUGUAUAGGAGGACUCCAUAGUUGGGAUUAUUGUGAUAUGUUGAUGCGUAGAAAGUCAUGAGGUUGUUGGAAGAGAUACAUGCAGGAACUUAUGCCUCGCAUGAAUGGUUUCAUUCUUGGAAGAAAAUUUUAAAAGCUAGAUACUUUUGGAUAACCAUGGAGAGAGAUAGCAUUCGAUAAGUGGAGAAGUGUCACAAUGUUAAUUUCAUGGGAAUUUUAUAUGGGUUCCACCAAAUAAGCUUAAUGUGAUGGGUUCUCCUUGGCCAUUUUCUUCUUUGGGCAUGGAUGUUAUUGGGUCGUAGAGCCUGCUACAUCCAAUGGACACCGUUUUAUCUUGGUUGCUGUCGAAUACUUCAUGAAAUUAGUUAAAGCUUUAACAGACAAGGCAGUGACUAAGAAAGUCAUAGCAGAUUUCAUCUGCAAUAACUUGGUUUGUCGGUUUGGAAUUCUAGAGUCAAUCAUAAAAGAUAAUGGGGCCAAUCUCAAUAGUGACCUUGAGAGAAAUUUAUGAAAGGUAUAAGAUCUCUCAUUAGAACUUCAUAGCAUAUUGACCACAAAUGAAUGGAGCAGUAGAGGCAGCAAAUAAGAAUAGCAAGAGGAUCUUGAGGAAAAUAGUGGGCUGCAGUAGGGAAUGACAUGAGAAGAUACUAUAUGUUUUGCUCGGUUAUCACACCACGAUUAGAACAUCCAUUGGGGAAAAUCCCUAUAUGUUAGUUUACGGUUCAAAAGCAGUGAUACCUGCAGAGUUAGAGAUGUUUUUAUUAAGAAUUAUCCAGGAGGUCGGUUUAGAUGUUGUUGAAUCGAUUCGUAGUAGGAUCGAACAAUUGAUUCUUAUUGAUAAGAAGAGACUGGACGCAGUUUACCAUGGGCAACUUUAUCAAAAUAGAAUGAUCAAGGUGUUUAAGAAGAAAAUCAAGCCUCGCCAAUUCACACCGGGAUAGUUGGUAUUAAAGAAGAUAUUCUUCAAUACCAAGUGUCCAAAUUGGCAAGGUCCAUACAUAGUUCACCGAGUACUCUCAGGAGGAGCAGUAAUCCUUGUUGAGAUGGAACGCAUAGUAAGUACGAAGCCGAUCAAUUCAGACGCCAUCAAAAAGUACUAUAUUUGAAGACAUUAGAAAUAGUCGUUAUUUUCUUGUACUUUUGCAUUUUUCUCUAAUGUAAUGAACUAAGUAUUAUCUUGACUUCCCAUGGUGGGAUAUAGAGGCAACCCACAUCGAUUUCAGUUUCCCUUAGAAAAUCCAAAAACAUCAUCUUUUCAUAUAUUCAGAACUAUGCUCAACCUGACUUUCCAUGGUGGGAUGCGUGGGCAAUCCUCAUCGAAUUUUGUCCCUUCAUAUUUUAUUCUCUUAUUGUACUAAACUACUGCCUAACCUAAUUCUACUUGGAUACGUAGGCAACCUGAGUCAGGCUCGGCCAUUGCAUUCCAUAUUUUUAUUUCUCCCAUUGUAUUUGAACUAUGUCAUGACCUGAUUCUAUUUGGAUACGUAGGUAGUCUGAGUAAGACUCGGUCGUUACAUUUUAUAUUUCUUUUUCUACCCCUGAACUACGUACAGACCUGAUACCUAUUUCCAGGAUACGUAGGCAACCUAAAAAGUUUGGUUUUACCUUUAGGAAAAUCCUCUUUUGCUCAUAGUAUAGCCCCAGAAUAUAAGCAAUCUAGCUGCUAGAAUAAUCGUAGCAUUAAUAAAGACAUAGCAGCUCCACCUAAAGGAUAAAACUACGUGGGUCACGAUCGACAAAUGGAGGCUUAAUAGAU
rnacentral:lncRNA from 1 species